GGGUCAGUAACUCAGUGGUAGAGUAUUCGGCUUUUAACCGAUUAGCCGUGGGUUCGAAUCCCACCUGACCUA
rfam:Bathycoccus prasinos genomic : Chloroplast.